CUUGCUGUCCCCAGUCCACCUGGUCGUGCUGCUGCUCCAGUUUGAACUGUUCUGCCUGUGGCUAUGGAACCCUGACCUGUUCACCGGACGUGCUACCUGUUCCAGACCUGCUGUUUUCAACUCUCUAGAGACACCAAGAGCGGUAGAGAUACUCUGAAUGAUCGGCUAUGAAAAGCCAACUGACAUUUACGCCUGAGGUGCUGACCGGCACCCUCUACAACCACUGUGAUUAUUAUUAUUUGACCCUACUGGUCAUUUAUGAAUAUUUGAACAUCUUGGCCAUGUUCUGUUAUAAUCUCCACUCAGCACAGCCAGAAGAGGACUGGCCACCCCUCAGCCUGGUUCCUCUCUAGGUUUCUUCCUAGGUUCUGGCCUUUUUAGGGAGUUUUUCUUAGCCACCGUGCUUCUACACCUGCAUUGCUUGCUGUUUGGGGUUUUAGGCUGGGUUUCUGUACAGCACUUUGUGACAUCAGCUGAUGUAAGAAGGGCUUUAUAAAUUAAUUUGAUUGAUUGAAACUCUUUUCUUUUGGGGGAACUAUCAUUUUCAAAUGUGUUCUAUUUUAGUCCAUGAUAUUGUUACAAAAUAGAUGUGUUGACUGAUUAGGGUAUGGGAAUAUAAGAGCAUCUGCUAGGCUAAAUUAAACUAGGCAUGCACAGCGCACCACAUGAUCCUCAAACCAAAGACUGGCCAAACUCGUGCUUCUAAAAGUGAAUUCAAAAAGGUGUUUUUCAGUUCAUUCUGAUCAGAAUGAGUUGUUCCCCACACAAGGGCUUUCUUACAGACAGAAAUACCCUCCCCCUCAUCAGAUUUGGAGGUCCUGGGCUACAUUUUUUUGUAGGUAUGGGAUCUUUUAUUUCAACUCAAGAAAAAUGGGACCAGUGUUUUAUUUUUGUUCAGUGUAGCAUAAAACAUUGCGUAUGUCAUUAUAGAUCGCUUUAUAUAAUCAGGUCCAUUUUAAUUUAUUUUGAAAUCUUAAAUUAUCAAGAUGUAGGCCUAUGCUUUUAGUCAUUUUCUUCAACUAAAGCAACAUCACCCUCACAUAACUCCUCAAUUCAAGACCUGUUUUGACCUUAACACAGCAAGCUCUUCACUUACACAGAUAUUUAAGGAGUGCAUGGUCACUGAAGUGAUUGGCUGACAAUCUAUGGAUGGUAGACUAUAAAUUCAUCUGUCAAACAGGUAGGCCUACCUGUUAUUUCUUGAAUAUGAAUAGGUUCUUAAACAAAGCACUCUUGUUAGUAUUCUAAAGUCAAAUUAAAAUGAAGACUUUAAAUGAAUUAGGUCUUCUUAUAUUUACCUACUACCCAUGCGCUGUCCAUCUCCGCAGCUGCAAAGUAAUGUAUGUAAAUUACUCAGGGCUUUUUGAGGUCAAUAACUCUGAUAAAUAGCUUCAUUAUGGGCAACUAAACCAAUGUUUAUAUUAAAAUGAAUUAUAAUGAGGUCAUCCUCUUCACGCUCUCCCUUUCAAACGGAAUAGGACAUCAGUAGGUCUAGUCCGCGUGAACAGAUAUGGCAUUUUUUAAAAUAUAUAUAUUGACUGGCCUCCUGAAGUGCCACCGUACACAGCACAGUCAUUGGUUAGGCAGCCGCAGCACAAAGGGGUUUACUUCAGCAAGAGCAUUGCAGGAUGGGCCUCUUGAUUGGGAACGCCUAUCCAUUGCAGUGUGUAAUGCAGUGUAGCCUAGUUUUAUAUUCACCAUCUCAGCAGCGCAAAAACUUGGGAUGGAAGUUCAUUAUUUUAGGAACAUAGCUUUGCCCUGUGCUCUUCGUGUAGCCUAGGCCUAUAGUAUAGACCAGCCUUUCCCAAACUAUUUUGUGCCAGGGAGACCCCAGAGGGUUUUUUAUAUUUGUAUUUUGUUGCAGCAAGAGAGAAGCUGGUCUCACAUAAGUAGGUAGAAUGAAAGGGGAUUCACUUCAACUCUGUCAUAUCGCGUUUGCUGCUGAACAGUCAGAAUGUGAACAGGCGCAUCUCAUUAAAACGAGAGCGCAGGCCUUGGUCACAGGACAGCUCCAAUAGUUUAUCAUCAAUAACUGAUGACAAGCUGUGAGUCUCUUCAGUGCUGGUGAACGGAUUACGUAUCCACUGCUUUCCCAGGCGUGGAUCAGAUUGCGAGGGGAAGUAAUCUUCGAAUUUGAGCAGAGUUUUGCUCAGAUGUGACCCCAACAAUUUAUGUAUGUGAUCCAUGUCUACAUAACCCACGUCAGUCAGAGUUUAGAAUAGAGGGGACAUAUCAAAAAAUGCCUCUAUCCACUCGGUCUCUCCAGACACCCAGUUUUUUCUUGAAAUCGGCAAUUCUAUCGUUUGCUUGGAAAAUGUCACUUUAGCGUCCCUGCAUGGCUAGGUUGAGCAGCAGUCUUGUCUAUAGGCCUGCAGUUCCCGAUACAACAGUCCCAUCGUAAUCCAUGUCCGUAUGUACUCGUUCAGGACACGCAGUUGUAUUCUGAGGCAACUCUUUGCCAGGUCAUUUUCAUAUGUGGCAAAUAUAUACAAAAAGCGGAAUUUGAAAUGUCAGUCUUCUUGUGAACUACAAUUCUGACGCUGUGUUUUAACGUUUAUAAACAUCCAAUAAUCAUCAGUGAUGAGUGACUAUGACUGCCAGUAAAACAGAUGAGGAUGGAACUGGGCCAGUGGAGCAGGCUCUGUCUCAGGACACAUCAGUGAUGACAGUGUCUCAGUGUGUUCUGGCUCUGUGGAUGCUGUUUCCUACCUGACCCUACACCAGAGGAGGAGCAGGGGCUGAUGAGCAUGCCCAAGACCAUGAUGGGAACAAUUUUAACCUGAGGAGGUGGUACAGGAUCAUGCAGUCUUCCCUGACCACAGACAGAGACAGCAGGACAACAUAGCCAGACUCUUUUCCCUCACCCUCCCUCUCCCCAUCUUCCCUCACCUUCUCCCACUAACCACACAUUUCCCUCACGCUCCUUCUCACCAUCAUCCCUCACACCACACUCUAUUCCCUCACCCUCCCUCUCCCUUUUCCCCCUCACCCUCUCCCACUAACCACGCUCUUCCCUCACCCUCCCUCUCCCCCUCUCCCACUAACACUCCCCCCCCAUCCUCACCUUCCCCAGGUGUUGCGGAGCAGCUACAGAUGAGUUUCCAGUAGCUGUUUGGUUCCCCUGCGGCCCCUACAUCCUCCGGGCCCAGCCUGCACCACCAAACCGUGGAGAGCAACCCUCCAGCCCUCCAACCUAAAAUACUGGCACCCAGCCCUGAGGGCCUGCAAGCCCAGGUUCUGUAAGAACCACUAUGCGGAGAUGGAGGCCACUCUCCUCAGGAUGUACGAAUGGCUACUGGACCGGUUCUCCUUCUUCCUGGGGGUGAAACCUGACUGUGUGUAUGAAGAAGUACUGAAGGUGGAGAGGCAUUUCCUCAGGAGCAGCAAGCCCUGGGCUAGAGCUUUAACUACGCCCACAAAGACACAGCCCAGAAAACAGCCCAACGGCAAACAAACCAGAAAAACAACUUUGUUCUCUAGGCAGCUAAAGAGAGUGACUUCAUCGGGACCAACUACUAUGGAUAGUUACUGUGCCAUAAUGCCAUGCUGACGGAUUACUUUCAUUUUUGUCUCGAUGUAACAUGAUUGUUUGCCUUUUUGUACAAAUUGCCUGUGGAUUACAAUGUGAUUACGAUGUGAUAUGAUGUUUAUGAACAUGCUGUACUUUCAGUUAUAUUAAACUAUAUUUUCUGUUAUUACAAUGAUAUACGUGAACCUUUGUCCCAGCUAUGAAUCGAGGUUCAUAAAAAUCAGACAUUUAUGCACAUACGGCUAUGCAACUCUGUUAAUUAAGGAAUACCAGACAUUUUAGGCUAAGACUACAGGCUGUCAAUUUGCGUGUUACUUUAGUUUUGAGUGUGAUGGACAGGUAAUGGGUGUUACCUGCCAUUAGUGGUUUUGGACGGCUUUGUCCCAAUUCCCGGACACUUCUAUGAAACUUUGUAGAAGCACCUAUGGCAGCGAUUACAGCUUUGAGUCGUCUUGUCUGUAUCAGCAUUGCACAUCUGGAUUUGGGGAUUUUCUCUCAUUCUUCCUUGCAGAUUUUCUCAUGCUCUGUUAAGUUAGAUGGGGAGCGGCAGUGAACAGCAAUCUUCAAGUCACUGCAGAUCAUCACCAAAUUUCACAGUGGGUGUGAGACCUGGAGAGGCCUACAAGCCACAGUGCCAGGUCAAUCAAGGUGUGGAUAGAGGACCACCAGAUCAAGACCCUGUCAUGGCCAGCCCAAUCUCCAGACCUGAACCCCAUUGAAAACCUCUAGAAUGUGAUCAAGAGGAAGAUGAAUGGUCACAAGCCAUCAAACAAAGCCAAGCUACUUACAUUUUUGCUCCAGAAGUGGCAUACAAUUGGAAAAUCUGAACAUCGCUCCCCAUGAUAGCUGUCUUUCGGAACGUGUUCCCACCUAUAAAUACCUUGGAGUUUGGUUAGAUGAUCAUCUCUUUUAAAACUCGUAACUGAGAUGGCAAAGAAGCUGUGUCAUCAGAGCACAGAACGUAAAUUGUACAGGCCACUUAUGUCAGUGCUUGAUUAUGGUGAUGUUUUAUAUAUGCAUGGAUCAGCAUCAGUACUGAAGACAUUGGAUGCAGCGUUGCGCUUUGUUACUUUUGCACACAACAUUGCCUUUUAUACACUUUGGCUGGCUGGGACUCCCUGACUUUUAGAAGGACCAGAUACUGGUUGAUAUUUGUCUAUAAAGCUGUCUUACAGAAACUUCCUAAUUAUCUUAACUCAACAAUCCAGUGGUCAAACAGAAUUUAUCAGACUCGGUCACAGGACAUGCUAGUGCUAGAGAUGCCCCAGAUUCACUCUGAGUUAGGCAAAACGGCAUUUCAAUAUCAUGCUCCACACUCAUGGAAUGAAUUGCAGAGAGAACUCCAGUUAGAUGUUUUGGUGCCUGUAAGACAGUUUAAAUGCACAUUACAUUAACUUUUUAGUAUAAACUGUGAUUUCUUUUUGUAAUGUGUUUUUCUUAUAGAAGUGUAUUUAUUUAAAUAGUUUUCAUCUCCGUCUUGUUACGGCUGUUAAAGGAAGAGGACCAAAGCGCAGCGUGGUUGGCGUACAUUUUCCUUUAUUGAAUAAAAAUGACGCCGAACAAAACAAUAAACACUACAAAACAGCUAAAGGCUAUGUGCCCUAAACAAAGUCAACUUUCCACAAAGACAGGUGGGAAAAGGGCUACCUAAGUAUGUUUCUCAAUCAGAGACAACGAUGGACAGCUGCCUCUGAUUGAGAACCACACCCUGCCAAACACAAAGAAAUAGAAACAUAGAAAUAAAGAAACUAGAAUGCCCACCCUAGUCACACCCUGGCCUAACCAAAAUAGAGAAUAAAAGCCUCUCUAGGGUGUGACACUUGUACUUUUUAUAUAUUUUCAUUUUGUUUGGUUUCAAAUUCAUAUUAAUUGCUGUGUUUGUAUUGUUGUAUCACAGGGCACAACUGUAAAAGAGACUGUCUCAGCUUGUUUCUCCUGUUUUAAUAAAGAUUAAUAAAAGAAAGUCACCCAACAUCAAUGUGAAAAACUGAUGGAGAGCAUGCCAAGACACAUGAAAUCAGGGUUAUUCUACCAAAUAUUGAUUUCUGAACUCUUCCUAAGUUAAAACAUUAGUAUUGUGUUGUUAAAAAUGAAUAUGAACUUAAUUUCUUUGCAUUAUUCGAGGUCUGACAACACUGCAUCUGUCAUUUUCUGCAAAUAAAAUGCUCUAAAUGACAAUAUUUUUAUUUGGAUUUUGGGAAAAAUGUUGUCAGUAGUUUAUAGAAUAAAACAAAAAUGUUAAUUUUACCCAAACACAUACCUAUAAAUAGUAAAACCAGAGAAACGGAUCAUUUUGAAGAUAUUCC
ensembl:lncRNA